rnacentral:rRNA from 1 species
AUUAGAGGUUCCGGGGAUGAAACAUCCUCGACCUAUUCUCAAACUUUAAAUAGGUACGAACUCUGGGUUGCUUAAUUGAACCCAGGGCCCCAAUGAGAGCUCCAAGUGGGCCAUUUUUGGUAAGCAGAACUGGCGAUGCGGGAUGAACCGAUAGCUGAGUUAAGGCGCCCAACUACGCGCUAACCUAGAUCCCACAAAGGGUGUUGAUUGAUAUAGACAGCAGGACGGUGGUCAUGGAAGUCGAAAUCCGCUAAGGAGUGUGUAACAACUCACCUGCCGAAUCAAUUAGCCCCGAA